rnacentral:rRNA from 1 species
UGUAAGCGUAUACCGAAGUUGUUGCAGUUAAAACGCUCGUAGUCGGAAUUUGGCAGUUCCGGAAGUGUGCACGUCGUGUGCGCACUUUGCGGGGACUGCUUUUGUGGUCUUGCGUAGGAUGAGGCACUUUCAUUAGUGAACGUCCUCACGCAACCACUCUUUACUGUGAGAAAAUCAGAGUGCUCAAAGCAGGCAUUUGCCGUGAAUGUAUUAGCAUGGAAUAAUAGAAUAGGACUCGGUUCUAUUUUGUUGGUUUGUUGGGACUGAGUAAUGAUUAAGAGGGACAGUUGGGGGCAUUUGUAUUCCGGCGCUAGAGGUGAAAUUCUUAGAUUGCCGGAAGACAAACUGCUGCGAAAGCGUCUGCCAAGGAUGUUUUCAUUGA